rnacentral:rRNA from 1 species
UACAUAGGGUGCAAGCGUUAUUCGGAAUUAUUGGGCGUAAAGGGUUCGUAGGUGGAUAGGAAAGUUUGAAGUGAAAGUUGGAGGCUCAACCUCUAAAUUGCUUUGAAAACUAACUAUCUAGAGUGUAGUAGGGGAGAACGGAAUUACCAGUGUAGCGGUGGAAUGCGUAGAUAUUGGUAGGAACACCGACAGCGAAGGCAGUUCUCUGGGCUAUUACUGACACUGAGGAACGAAAGCGUGGGGAGCAACC